AAUAAAGUGCCUGAUUAAAGGGUUACCUUGAUAGGGUAAAAAAUGUGAUUUCACCUUUAUUA
rnacentral:tRNA from 1 species